UCUCUAACACAGGUCAGGAGUGCUUGGAUGGGUGUCCCAGGGCCUAAACAAUAUGCUCCCUCAGCCUGAUGAGAAAUACAGAGAGAGUCCUGAAGUCUUCACCGAGGAACACACUGAGGUUUAUGAUGUGCAAACAAUGCCAGAUUUUGAUCCCUUACCUCAUAUCCCUGUGGUGGAGAUGGUAUCAGAUGAUGAAGAAGUUAAUGACCGGUCAGGUUCGUUCCCACCAAAGGUUGGCCAAUGGCUAAAACAAAUUCUGCCUCAACCAGUUCCGCCUGGUUCAGUGAUUUGUGAACCUUCAAAUUCAUCUCCCUGCUCACUGGACAAAACCUUAUCUCCUCCUCCUGAGUCUCUAAGUGGCAUCUCACUGGACACUGAUGGCAAAGUGGGAAGUAUGGUUGGCUGGUUUGUGUCAGGCUUUGGACUGAAGAUGCCUCAGCCUGCUGCACCAUGUAAAGACGGUGCUGAUGGGGCUGCGGAUGUUCUACAGAAAGCAUCAUCCAGACUGCAGCCUGACAUGGUGCUGGAGGAUGUGGAGUCAGACACUGAAUGUCAGCAGAAACGU
ensembl:lncRNA